rnacentral:rRNA from 1 species
UACAGAGGUGCCAAGCGUUGUUCGGAUUUAUUGGGCGUAAAGGGUGCGUAGGCGGUUGUGCAAGUCGGGUGUGAAAUUCCGGAGCCUAACUCCGGAACUGCAUUCGAAACUGCACAGCUCGAGGUCUGGAGAGGUGGAUUGGAAGUUCUAGGUGUAGCAGUGAAAUGCGUAGAUAUCUAGAGGAACACCAGAGGCGAAAGCGAAUCACUGGACAGAACCUGACGCUGAGGCACGAAAGCUAGGGGAGCAAACGGGG